UUUCAAUUAGUAUCACAGCUGUGUCAUUAUUAACUUGAACUGUAGUUGUCAACUUGAGACUUCCAUAGAGCAAUGUAGUUAAAUCUGUUGAAAGCAGAAACAAAAUACAAAACUUAAUACUUUUCUUCUUCAGAACUUUAUCAAAUGAUGAGCUGUAUAGUAAUUGUUUGCAUAUGCAGUCAUACUCAGAAGGGGUGGAUUUGGGUCAGCAGUGGAUGGGCCUCUUGGUGUAGAUUGCUCUGAUGUGGUUUGAUCAAAUGAAGUUCCGCUGGUGGUGGGGUUGGUUGAUGUACUAUGAUGUGGUGUACUUGUACUUGUAGGAGGAAAAAUAUCAAAGAAACCUGAGGUUAUAGUUUUUGUUGUGGUUGUCUCAGGUGUGGUUGACAUAGUUGUCUCAGGUGUACUUGUAGGAGGGCUGGUUGGUUUCAUAGCUGUUGGGACAUGAGUGAUCAUUUCAGGAAAAAUCUCUGAGGUUAUAGUUUUUGAUGUGGUUGUCUCAGGUGUGGUUGACAUAGUUGUCUCAGGUGUACUGGUAAAAGGGCUGGUUGGUUUCAUAGCUGUACUUGAGGUUGGGUCAUGAGUUGAUGUACUUGUUUCAAGGAUACUUGAGGUUGUAGCAUGUUCAGUUGUGCUUGUUGGAAGAUAGGUUGAUGUGGUUCUUUCAUUUGUAAUCCCAGUUGUUGGAGAAUUUGUUGUAGUAACUGUUAUAGGCAUGCUGGUGGAGAUGGUGUAGAUUGGUGUAGAUUGCUCUGAUGUGGUUUGAUCAAAUGAAGUUCCGCUGGUGGUGGGGUUGGUUGAUGUAGCUGGUUCAGUAGUACUUGGAAGGUUGGUUGACGUAAUAUGAUGUGGUGUACUUGUACUGGUAGAAGGGCUGGUUGAUGUCUUAGCUGUACUUGAGGUUGGGUCAUGAGUGGUCACUUCAAAAGGAGGAUCAGGGAAAUCUGAGAUUGGAGUUUUUGAUGUGGUUGUUGAAGGUGUGGAUGACACAGUUGUCUCAGGUGUACUAAUCGAAGGGCUGGUUGAUGUCUUAGCGGUACUUGAUGCAGCUGAUACUGGAAGGGUGACUGGUGUAGUCGUUUUUGAUGUGGUUGUUGAAGAUGUGGUUAAGGUAGUUGACUCCGAUGUGCUUGCAGUUGUUGGAGAACGUGUCGAUUGUUCAGAAGUACUUACAGUUAUUGAAGGGGAGGUUGGUGUUAUUUCAGAUGUAUAUGCUGGAGAGGUGACUGGUGUAGUUGAAGGUGUGGUUGACGUAGUUGAAGGUGUGGAUGGGAUGCUAGAUGCAGUACUUCCUGAAGUAUUAGAAGUUGUCUGUGUUGAUGCUGUGAACAAAAAGUUGUU
ensembl:lncRNA